UACAGAGGGUGCAAACGUUGUUCGGAUUUACUGGGCGUAAAGCGCGUGUAGGCGGCUUGGCAAGUCGGAUGUGAAAGCCCACGGCUCAACCGUGGAAGCGCAUCCGAAACGGCCUCGCUCGAGUCUCGGAGAGGAAGGUGGAAUGCUUGGUGUAGAGGUGAAAUGCGUAGAGAUCGGGAGGAACACCAGAGGCGAAGGCGGCGACCUGGACAGUUACUGACACUCAACUACGAAAGCGUGGGGAGCAAACAGG
rnacentral:rRNA from 1 species